GAAAAUCUAACCUAGUGCCUCUGGGCAAGUGCUGAGUACACUAACCUCCAUUACUGUGGGUCUGAAAUGUGAGCACAGUCCUGACAGUGAAGGCUGGAGCCUUCUCUCCUCUAGUCAAAGACCUGCUACUCUGCUCUGCAGGAAUGGGGAGGAGAAUGGAGUGGGUUGCUGUCUGUGCCCUUGAAAAGUGGCAACUGGAACUGACCUUAAAUGUUGUUCCAAAUGUGGGCGACGCUUGAACUAGCUGUUUGCUUUGUCAAGAUCAGGAGCAUCUGACCGUCACAAGGGAAAAAUCAGAAGAUUGAUUGAGACAUUUGGCUGAAUGGAAUGGAAACUCCUCGGUGGUGCCUGUAUCCAAGACAACCAUGUCAAGAGACAGAGGCUGGCCAUGGCCACUGCCAAGCAGAAAGCCUGGAAAAGUGAAGAAAGGCCUGAUUGAUCACAAGAUUCUAUCAGAUGUCGAAGCUGGCCCUAGCUGACCUUGCAUGUACCCAGAACUGCCUGAUUUAAUCUCUACAUUAGCAGCUUCUCCUGGCUGGGAGUUCUAUCUGCAAGCCAUGCAUCAGCAUUGAGCUAUGACCUGAGUCAUGCUCCAUUCAUCUUCUCUGAAGGAAGGAAAUUAAACUAGAGGUUUGAAAGAGGAAAGUGUUCAAAAUACAUUCACAUUAGCUGACGCCUUGUGUGUGGGUGCAUUUGAGGAGCUUGAGCAACCAAUAAAAAUGAUAUGAAAAUGUAAUUGACCUUGACUCCACUGGUAA
rnacentral:lncRNA from 1 species